CCAAUUUUUUUCAGGUUGACCUCGGAUCAGGUAGGGAUACCCGSUGAACUUAA
rnacentral:rRNA from 1 species